CGGUAAGAUAGAAAGAGCAAUUGGAGGAUGCCUUGGCACACAGAGGCGAUGAAAGACGCAGCAACCGGCGAAACGCUACGGGGAGUUGGAAGCAAGCAUUGAUCCGUAGAUAUCUGAAUGGGGCAACCCAACGGGAGUCAUGUCCCGUUACUCCGCAAGGAGGGCAAACCCGGGGAAGUGAAACAUCUCAGUACCCGGAGGAAGAGAAAACAAACGUGAUUCCCUUAGUAGUGGCGAGCGAAACGGGAAGAGUCCAAACCGGUGUCCAAUGGGCAUCGGGGUUGUAGGGCGCUCAACAAAGUGUAUGAUAACUGAUAGCAGAAUUGACCUGGAAAGUCAAGCCAUAGAAGGUGAAAGCCCUGUAAGCGAAAUCGGAAGUUGGCAUGAGAGCGUACCUGAGUACCGCGGAGCAGGUGGAAUUCUGCGGGAACCAGCCGGAACCAUCCGGUAAGACUAAAUACUCCUGUGUGACCGAUAGUGAACCAGUACCGUGAGGGAAAGGUGAAAAGAACCCUUAAGAAGGGAGUGAAAAGAAUCUGAAACCAAUUGCUUACAAACGGUCGGAGCGGAUUUAUUCCGUGACGGCGUGCCUUUUGCUUAAUGAGCCAACGAGUUGCUCGUCACGUGCAAGGGUAAGAUUUUUAAGAAUCGCACCCGUAGCGAAAGCAAGUCUGAAAAGGGCGAUUAGUGCGUGGCGGCAGACGCGAAACCGUGUGAUCUAUCCAUGGUCAGGAUGAAGUAUCGGUAACACGAUAUGGAGGUCCGAACUGGUGCGGGUUGAAAACUGCUCGGAUGAACUGUGGAUGGGGGUGAAAGGCCAAUCAAACUCGGUGAUAGCUCGUACUCCCCGAAAUGUAUUUAGGUGCAGCCUCGAGUUAGUGUUCCGGAGGUAGGGCUCUGAUUGGGCUAGGGCUGUCACAACGGUACCGAACCCAGAUAAACUUCAAAUACCGGAAACAUGAUGCUCGGGAGUAAGGCGGCGAGGGAUAAGCUUCGUUGCCGAGAGGGAAAGAACCCAGACCGCCGAUUAAGGUCCCCAAGUGUAUGCUAACAGAUAAAGGAUGUUGCGUUGCUGAGACAGCCAGGAUGUUGGCUUAGAAGCAGCCACUCAUUGAAAGAGUGCGUAAUAGCUCACUGGUCGAGCGACGCAGCGCCGAUAAUUAUCGGGACUGCAAGCAUACCACCGAAAUCGCGGAUUCAGCUUUACAGCUGAGUGGUAGGGGAGCAUUCUACGGGCAUUGAAGGUGUGAUGUGAGUCAUGCUGGAGCGCGUAGAAGAGCAAAUGUUGGCAUAAGUAGCGAGAACGAAAGUGAGAAUCUUUCGCGCCGAAAGUCUAAGGUUUCCUGAGCUCCGUUCGUCGACUCAGGGUUAGUCGGCCCCUAAGGUGAGGCCGAGAGGCGUAAUUGAUGGGAAACAGGCACAUUAUAAUAUUCCUGUACCGCUAUAGCAAUAAAAGUGACGCAAUGAAACGGUCAUACCAGCCAAAUGGCUAUGCAGGUAUGGCUUAGAGUUGCCGAGAAAAGCGAGCUAUGGCGACCGUACCGCAAACCGACACAGGUAGACGGGUUGAAUAUACUCAGGCGCGCGAGUGAGCCGUGGUUAAGGAACUCGGCAAAUUAACCCCGUAACUUCGGGAGAAGGGGUGCUGGAGCAAUCCAGCCGCAGAGAAAUGGCCCAAGCGACUGUUUAACAAAAACACAUCACUCUGCUAACACGUAAAGUGGAUGUAUAGGGUGUGACACCUGCCCGGUGCCGGAAGGUUAAGAGGAGAUGUCAGGCGCAAGCCGAAGCAUUGAAUCGAAGCCCCGGUAAACGGCGGCCGUAACUAUAACGGUCCUAAGGUAGCGAAAUUCCUUGUCGGGUAAGUUCCGACCUGCACGAAUGGUGUAACGAUUUGGGCACUGUCUCAACCACGGGCUCGGCGAAAUUGUGGUACCGGUGAAGACGCCGGUUACCCGCAUAUGGACGGAAAGACCCUAUGCACCUUUACUAUAACUUACUAUUGGCUCUGGUUGCAUCAUGCGUAGGAUAGGUGGGAGUCAGCGAAGCAGUGCUCUUGGGCAUUGUGGAGACAACGGUGAAAUACCACCCUUGAUGCAGUUGGAUUCUAACCCGGCGGCGUGUAGCCGCGGGGACAGUGGUAGGCGGGUAGUUUGACUGGGGCGGUCGCCUCCUAAAUUGUAACGGAGGCUUGCAAAGGUUCCCUCAGCACGGUUGGUAAUCGUGCCAAGAGCGCAAAAGCAGAAGGGAGCUUGACUGUGAGACCGACAGGUCGAGCAGGUACGAAAGUAGGUUUUAGUGAUCCGGCGGCACCGAGUGGAAGGGCCGUCGCUCAAAGGAUAAAAGGUACGCUAGGGAUAACAGGCUGAUCUUCCCCAAGAGUUCACAUCGACGGGAAGGUUUGGCACCUCGAUGUCGGCUCAUCGCAUCCUGGGGCUGGAGAAGGUCCCAAGGGUUUGGCUGUUCGCCAAUUAAAGCGGUACGUGAGCUGGGUUCAGAACGUCGUGAGACAGUUCGGUCCCUAUCCUAUGCGGGCGAAAGAUACUUGAGGGGACUCGUUCUUAGUACGAGAGGACCGGAAUGACUGGACCGACGGUGUGUCUGUUGUUUUGCCAAAGGCAUUGCAGAGUAGCCACGUCCAGAAAGGAUAAGUGCUGAACGCAUCUCAAGCACGAAACCUGCCCCAAGAUGAGGUAUCUCACAGCGUUAAGCUGGUAAGGACCCAGAGAGAUGAUCUGGUCGAUAGGCUCGACGUAGAAGCGUGGCGACACGUGGAGCGGAAGAGUACUAAUAGUCCGAGGGCUUAUCGAU
rnacentral:rRNA from 1 species